AACUUAACAAAUAAAGCAUAUAUAAACAGAACCUAUACCGAAAAAAAGAAAGAAAGAAGAUAUGAAUGACAAAAGGAAGAAAGUAUACAGAAACACAAUUUUGAGACAAAAAAUAAACAAUAUGUGCAGCUUCUUGACAUAAACCAAAGAGCCUUUCACUCUUCUUGACACGAACCAGUGGCACCCAAACUCCAACCUGCACUAACAACCCAGAUUUUCAACCCCAAUCAUCACCAUCCACCACAAGGCCUUUCCUACUGAGUAAUCAGAAGCCCCUACGGCGCUUCAAGAAGCAGAACCCCCAAAUCCAUUUCCCCAUCCACCUGUAGAGAAGCAGAACCAAAAACCCAAGGAAGAGAAACGCAAACCCAAUACCUAACCACCAUCACGCUGCCGCCGCCGCGUCCUCGCCACUCCAUGAGAAAAGAGUUUUCGCCAUCAUAGCCACUAUUGUUGCUCUCUCAUCGCACCGUCGUGCACUCUCACCGCCAUCACAGCCACCAUCGCAGCAUCGUCGUUGCUCUCUUGUUGCACCAUCGCGCGCUCUCACCGCCAUCGCAGCCACCAUCGCAGCAUCGUUGUUGCUCUCUCGUUGCACCUUCGCGCGCUCUAACCGCCAUCGCAACCACCAUCACAGCACCGUCGCUGCUCUCUCGUCGCACUGUCGCGCGCUCCCACCGCCAUCGCACAUCUUCGAGAAAAAGAAGAAUAAGAGAGGUGCUAGGAUUUUUGGGGGAAAAGGAGAAGAGAAGAGGCUAGGUUUUUUGGUGUCUUAGGUUUUCUGGCUUUAAGACGGGCCAAGCCCAAGAGACUUAUAUGCCUCGGUCCAUGCCAACCGAGACAGUAAGAGGCUUAUAUGCCUCGGUCCAUCUGUCAACCGAGACAAUAUCUUUGACACGUGAGGUUUAUGCCUCGGUUCACCUUGCCAACCGAGGCAGUGUACACUUUAGACACUGGUUGCUUAACAACCGAAGCAUAUAUUAA
rnacentral:lncRNA from 1 species